GCUUGUCUCAAAGAUUAAGCCAUGCAUGUCUAAGUAUAAACAACUUUAUACUGUAAAACUGCGAACGGCUCAUUAUAUCAGCAAUAAUUUAUUUGAUGGUUUCUUACCCCAUGGAUAACUGUGGUAAUUCUAGAGCUAAUACAUGCGUCAAAACCCGACUCCUGGGAGGGUUGUAUUUAUUAGAUGGAAACCAAUGCGGGGCAACCCGGUAUAUGGUGAUUCAUAAUAACUUUCGGAUCGAUCUUCGGAUCGAUGCAUCAUUCAAGUUUCUGCCCUAUCAGCUUUGGAUGGUAGGGUAUUGGCCUACCAUGGCUUUAACGGGUAACGGAGAAUUAGGGUUCGAUUCCGGAGAGGGAGCCUGAGAAAUGGCUACCACAUCCAAGGAAGGCAGCAGG
rnacentral:rRNA from 1 species